UACGGAGGGUGCAAGCGUUAAUCGGAACUACUGGGCGUAAAGCGCACGCAGGUGGCUGAGUCAGUCGAUUGUGAAAGCCCUGGGCUUAACCUGGGAAUUGCAGUCGAUACUACUCAGCUAGAGUAUGGGAGAGGGCAGUGGAAUUCCCGGUGUAGCGGUGAAAUGCGUAGAUAUCGGGAGGAACAUCAGUGGCGAAGGCGGCUGCCUGGCCCAAUACUGACACUCAGGUGCGACAGCGUGGGGAGCAAACAGG
rnacentral:rRNA from 1 species